rnacentral:piRNA from 1 species
UGAUACCAUUGUCCCUGGCCAUCUA